rnacentral:rRNA from 1 species
AGAGUUUGAUCCUGGCUCAGGAUGAACGCUAGCGACAGGCUUAACACAUGCAAGUCGAGGGGCAGCAUGAGGUAGCAAUACCUUGAUGGCGACCGGCGCACGGGUGAGUAACGCGUAUGCAACCUGCCCGAUACCGGGGUAUAGCCCAUGGAAACGUGGAUUAACACCCCAUAGUACUUUUAUCCUGCCUGGGAUGGGAGUUAAAUGUUCAAGGUAUCGGAUGGGCAUGCGUCCUAUUAGUUAGUUGGCGGGGUAACAGCCCACCAAGACGAUGAUAGGUAGGGGUUCUGAGAGGAAGGUCCCCCCACAUUGGAACUGAGACACGGUCCAAACUCAUACGGGAGGCAGCA